GCUCUAGAUGCCCCAAGCCAGAGUUUCUGGGGGUGGCGUCUGGGAAUCCACUUGUAAUAAGCCACUGAGACCAAGGCUGGGACCAGAAAUGUAUCAGUAAGGUCUUGACCUUGGCCAUGGUUUGGCAUCACAGCAAACUUGAAGUUCUCCUCUGUGGAAACAGCCUGAGCUGGGCCAUUUGCAAUUGUGUGGCCUCUAGCACGUGUCCAACUGGAGCAGCAUGUGGUGGACACCGGUGUUUGUCAGCCCCACAUCCAUGUCAGGGAAGAGCACUUUGACUUUGCUUUGGGUCUCUCCGGCUCUGCUUGGUGUCUGUGUUGCUGGUUCCCCAUCCUCUGCCAGCCUCCUACCUCUGGAGGGGGCCUGAUAACCACACCUGUACACAUCAGACUCUGUUCCCAGACUUCUGUUGGAACCAUUCACAAGCUCACUUUCCAAGGGGAUUGUGCUGGGGUAAACAUCCAAAGUGGCUUCUGCCACAGUCCACCACAUGGAGAAAAUGAAGCUAACAGGGAGGAAAGCAGCCUCUAGAGAGAGGGAAAAAGAGGAAGAGAGACGGAGUCCUGAUGAUGUUUUAGCUCCUGGAUACAGCUAUGCCUGAAGCCCUCACGCUUUCAUCUAUGUUAGUCAAUAAAUCCUGCCCGUCUCCCUGCUUUUUUCUUCUUGAGCCAGUUUGGGUUACGUUCAUGUCACUGCAGUUCAGAGUCCUUUCAUAGAAAUAUCAAAUGUAGUGAGAUGCACUAUAAGCAUUGCUUUUUGUUUUAGGUUUUUUGUUUGUUUGUUUUGCAGCAGAGAGACUAAAAUGUUCUUCCUCAGAGGUAGCAAGUCUCCUUAGAGCAGAUGUGUUUUGGAGGAAAAUAAUCAAUGAUUCUUUGGUUUGCCAAAUGCAAGGCAAAUACUAACCCAGAGUUCUGGAAAGGACUUGAAUAAAAGAGUUAUUCAACCUA
rnacentral:lncRNA from 10 species